rnacentral:rRNA from 1 species
GGGGGAAANCCCUGAUGCAGCAACGCCGCGUGAGUGAUGAAGGUUUUCGGAUCGUAAAACUCUGUCUUUGGGGAAGAUAAUGACGGUACCCAAGGAGGAAGCCACGGCUAACUACGUGCCAGCAGCCGCGGUAAUACGUAGGUGGCGAGCGUUAUCCGGAUUUACUGGGCGUAAAGGGAGCGUAGGCGGAUGAUUAAGUGGGAUGUGAAAUACCCGGGCUCAACUUGGGUGCUGCAUUCCAAACUGGUUAUCUAGAGUGCAGGAGAGGAGAGUGGAAUUCCAGGUGUAGCGGUGAAAUGCGUAGAGAUCUGGAGGAAUACC